GACGAACGCUGGCGGCGUGCUUAACACAUGCAAGUCGAACGGAAAGGCCCUGCUUGCAGGGUACUCGAUUGGCGAACGGUUGAGUAACACGUGGGUGAUCUGCCCUGCACUUCGGGAUAAGCCUGGGUAACUGGUUCUAAUACCGGAUAGGAGCCAUUUUUAGUUUGAUGGUUGGAAAGUUUUUUCGGUGUAGGAUGAGCUCGCGGCCUAUCAGCUUGUUGGUGGGGUAAUGGCCUACCAAGGCGGCGACGGGUAGCCGGCCUGAGAGGGUGGACGGCCACAUUGGGACUGAGAUACGGCCCAGACUCCUACGGGAGGCAGAAGUGGGGAAUAUGGCAAAAUGAGCGCAAGCGUGAUGCAGCGACGCCGCGGGGGGGAUGACGGCCUUCGGGUUGUAAACGCAUUUCGCUAGGGACGAAGCUUUUUGUGACGGUACCUAGAGAAGAAGCACCGGCUAACUACGUG
rnacentral:rRNA from 1 species